rnacentral:rRNA from 1 species
AUUGAACGCUGGCGGAAUGCUUUACACAUGCAAGUCGAACGGCAGCACGGACUUCGGUCUGGUGGCGAGUGGCGAACGGGUGAGUAAUGUAUCGGAACGUGCCCAGUCGUGGGGGAUAACGUAGUGAAAAUUACGCUAAUACCGCAUACGAUCUGUGGAUGAAAGCGGGGGAUCGCAAGACCUCGCGCGAUUGGAGCGGCCGAUAUCAGAUUAGGUAGUUGGUGAGGUAAAGGCUCACCAAGCCUGCGAUCGGUAGCUGGUCUGAGAGGACGACCAGCCACACUGGGACUGAGACACGGCCCAGACUCCUACGGGAGGCAGCAGUGGGGAAUUUUGGACAAUGGGCGAAAGCCUGAUCCAGCCAUUCCGCGUGCAGGAUGAAGGCCCUCGGGUUGUAAACUGCUUUUGUACAGAACGAAAAGGUUUCUACUAAUACUAGGAGCUCAUGACGGUACUGUAAGAAUAAGCACCGGCUAACUACGUGCCAGCAGCCGCCGUAA